UCCAAAUCAAUUUUUAAAACUAGGCCAUGACUCACACCUGUCUUCUCUUGUUUUCCUACCAGGUGAUGAUGACACUGCGCCAACAAAACUGCUUGAAUCUCUGCCACAAGGAAGCGACGUUUUCCCAGUGAUAAAGAUGCAGUAUGAUUUUGCACCAGUAUCGGAAGAAGGUGUUCUCCAGGGAAACCUUCCUGGCUCCUUGACUGCUUCAGAGCUCCAACUGGGAACAGAAAGAAAGAGUGAGUUGGUUUCUGCCGAAAGCAGUUUCAGUAAGCCUUCUAAGCCAUCGAAAGCCCAACCAGCCUGCAAAAGACGAUUGGGAGAUUUUAGUGCCACAGUUCUGCCACAGGAAGGGUCUCCUCAGCCAGUCAUGGAACGAAAACAUCCUCUUAAUGAUUCACAACCUUCUUUGGUUUAUGAGGAAGCUCAAAGCACAGCGCCAUCUGAGUUGGGACCUACCUCCAGAAAGCACCAGCCGAGCUUAAACCCCACUCCUUUUCAACCGUCCCCUUCUGAAAAGGAGUCCUGUGGGGGCCCAGAUUGUUGCCACUCUCAUAGUGGGGGCCCAGCAGAACCCACUGAAGACGAGAUUCUUGCAAAGGGAUGGGAAAAGCGCCUUUUGAAGUUUAACCUUGCCCACUAUCUCAAUUCGAAGGCUGUCCCAUUAGAGAAGCCCUAUAAUUGCCCAGAUUGUGGGAGAGCCUUUGUUCACCAAUCGAGUAUCCCUAGGCAUCAGAAACUACACAGGAAAGAAACAUUUUCUCCAACAUUUGGGCAGGAAAGAAGCCCCAACCUGGACUUGAAGCCUCUUUCCCAUCCAAAGCUCCUCUCUGGAAAGGAGAAACCCACUUACCAUCCUGUUAAUAGUACAGAAAAGGCAAAGAAUCAAAGUAACCUCAGCUGUCAAGGUGCUUCUACUCUGAGUAGUGUUUGUGUAGAGACUGACUCUCCGUCUUCAGAGCCUUGUACAAAGCAAGCAGGUGUGGAAAAGCCCUUCCCCUGCUCUGAGUGUGGGAGGAGUUUCAACCUGAAGAGUACAAUGAUACGACACCAGAAGCUGCAUCUGGGAGAGCGGCCCUUCAAGUGCCCCCUUUGCGACAAAAGCUAUGGUCAGAAGGGCCACCUGAAGAGGCACUACCAGCAAAAACACAGCAACCAUUUGAUCCAAAAAGAGUCACCUUGAUCCAGGAAAAGAGUCUCCUCUUUUGUCCUCAGCUGCUGCAAACUUGGAGCCCCCAAUGGCGCAGUGGAUUAAACUGCUGAGCUGCUGAACUUGCUGUCCGAAAGGAAGGCAAGGCAGCUGUCAAAACAAGCACAGAGAAGCUGUUCAAUUUUUGUUUAGUCUCAAGCUGUAAUUCCAGCACAGCAGCACAGGAAACUUUUGCAAGAAUUUAUUCUGUCAAUGCACAACAAGGUGAUCAAUCCAUGGCACAAGAAUUUGGGGUAAACCAAGCACAGACUGUGGGUGGAUUUGUGUAUAGCAGGAACUUGGCUGGGACACUAUACAGAUUCAAAGCAGCCUCUCUUGUGUCCCUCUCCAGUACUCAGCUGUUCCUUGAGAGAGAAACCUUCCUCCUUUCUCUGCAAGUUGCAUGAACGCCAUAGCAGAUACUUGAAUGACCAAAGCUUGACAGUGCUCUUUUAUGAACCACAAUGGUCUGAAAAGCUGCCAAUCCAAAAUAAUUUUGAAAAAUGCCUUAUAGGUUAAAAGGGGUUGGUUUUUGCAGUUCUCUAAAUAUUGAAUGGCAGCUUCCAAUAUUCCUCCCCAUUGGCCAUGUUGGCUACGUUUUACUUGGGGGUUGCCUUUCUGUAAUGUCUAGUGGAGGAGGGUGUAUAUACAGGUCUUAGCCCUGGACUAAAGGGUUUGAGACAUUACAAUAAAUGUUACUACAUGUCUGGAUCCAAAGGCACACACCCUUAGCUUUGUUUUCAUCGAUCAGCCAGACCUGUUCCUGAAUCUACUGAAAGCUGAAUUUCAAAUGGAACCAGUUUCAAGUGGUUUCUCUAUGGCAGUGAGACCCUUUGGAUACCCACUAUUAAUCACAAUUGUUCUGUUUGUGGUAACAAAUUUGAUAUGAUCACCAAAAAUAUGUGUUAUUUUCCAGUACUGCAGUAGGGAUGCCAUGGUUAUCUAAGCCAUUAGAACUUCGUCUUUACUUGAAAGUUGGAAAUUUCUCAGUCUUCACCACAAGGCUUAAUAAGAAAUUACGUUUACUUUAAAUUCGUUUUAUCUUGAUUGUUCGUCUCUUUUAUCUGUGAAAACUUUGAGAAGGGUUUUUAAAACUACUGAACGUUAUAUUGCCUUUACAUAUACUGUAUAUCACAGUGAUCGCAUUAUUUUUUUAAAAUGUGUUGCCUGGGGAUGAUGGGAGUUGUGCAGUACAUCUUAGGAGGGCAUUUGUUAUGUAAGACAUAGUGCGCCUAUAUGUUUUCAGCUGAUGGAGCACUACUUGAUUCAUGUCUCUUUGUGGCACCGUCUGGUCCUUUACAAGUUCGACUUUCUUGUUCCCUCUUAAACAAAUCUUAUACCAAAGAGAACAGAGCACGUUUUCUCUCUCACACACAAUAUUUCACCCAGCCAGGGAUAUUGCCUUAAAGCUAUAUCACAAUGGUGUUACUUCAAAAAGUAGUUUGUGCUGGCAGUACACUUUCUCUUUUUAUUGUUUUAGCAAUGUGUUAUAAAUAUGUUCCUUUUUAAAAAAAUGUACAAUUUAAAAUAUUAAAAAUUAUCUAGUAA